UACGUAGGGGGCUAGCGUUGUCCGGAAUCAUUGGGCGUAAAGAGCGUGUAGGCGGUCCGGUAAGUCCGUUGUGAAAGUCAGGGGCUCAACCCUUGAAUGCCGGCGGAUACUGUCGGGCUAGAGUCCGGAAGAGGCAAGUGGAAUUCCCGGUGUAGCGGUGAAAUGCGUAGAUAUCGAGAGGUACACCUGCGGCGAAGGCGGGUUGCUGGGCUGACACUGACGCUGAUGCGCGAAAGCUAGGGGAGCGAACGGG
rnacentral:rRNA from 1 species